AAACGACUCUCGGCAACGGAUAUCUCGGCUCUCGCAUCGAUGAAGAACGUAGCGGAAAUGCGAUACUUGGUGUGAAUUGCAGAAUCCCGCGAACCAUCGAGUCUUUGAACGCAAGUUGCGCCCGAGGCCACCCGGCCGAGGGCACGUCUGCCUGGGCGUCACGC
rnacentral:rRNA from 1 species